rnacentral:rRNA from 1 species
UACGUAGGGGGCGAGCGUUGUCCGGAAUUACUGGGCGUAAAGCGUGCGCAGGCGGUUUUGUAAGCCAGAUGUGAAAUCCCCGGGCUUAACCUGGGAAUGGCAUUUGGGACUGCAAGGCUGGAGUGCGGCAGAGGAGACUGGAAUUCCUGGUGUAGCAGUGAAAUGCGUAGAUAUCAGGAGGAAUACCGAUGGCGAAGGCAGGUCUCUGGGCCGAUACUGACGCUGAGGAGCGAAAGCGUGGGGAGCGAACAGG